GGUUUUACUCUGUCAACAAUUAUAGGCAGCUUGAAAUCCGUGAAUGAGUUCAUUCCUGUUGAAGUUGCUCCAACAUGCCCUCUAUAUUUCGAUAUGGUGAUGUUUGAGGAUAAUCGAGGCAAUGAUGGUGGUGAUCAGCCCAUGGAAUCUGGAGAUCAGCCCAUGGAAUCAGGAGAAGACGCUACUAAUGUAUCUGUAGAGGAGAAAUCAAAAUCAGCUACUACGAGGCAGAAUGAAAAGCUCUAUGUUGAGGAAGGGAUGCUAAAUACAAAGAUGAGAAAAGCAGAUAAGAAAAGGCGGAAAAAGGAAAACUAGACGAGUACAAUGGAACACGAUGAGUGCGAGUUCAAGGUCGGCUACAUGAAGGAAUCCUCCGCCAUGGAAACUGGGGAUGAGGACGAAAGCCACGGAACAAAGAAAAACAGAUUAAAACAGAUUCGAGCUACCUUGUAGGCUAGACUUGGAUAAUGAAUAGCUAAAAAAAGAAGACAAAAUUUGAAGCACAAUUUUGAAGGCAUUUAUAGGAGAGUAUUCUUGUUUU